AUCACGUUCGCCUCACACGCGAAAGGUCCCCGGUUCGAAACCGGGCGGGAACACGUGUGCUUUUGUUCUCUUCCACUUUACAUUUAUGAGAAACAAAACUCACAAACCAUCGCACUUGUUCUUUGAAGGAAAAGUGUAUGUUUUCCAGAGAGCCCUCUGCUGCAGACCUCGCCCUCCUUUCCCCGGCCGGCUGUCCUCUCUUGGGUCCCUGGAUCCCAGGACAGCGCAGCCGCUGCUUCUGGAUUCCGGAUUUCUAGGAACCACAAUGGCUCCAGCUUGCAGGCAGUGAGGACAGCUUGUUUCUCGCCAGAAAAUGCACCCGAGCCCGCCCCGACGGCGAGCCCCGCCCAGGAGCGACCUAGGGGUCUGGGGGGUUCCCCAGUCGAUCGCUGCCCCGGGCCGCACAGUGUUCUGCAGUGCGCGCGCCGUGUUAGCAAUCCGCCAGAUGUCGCAAGCAACCCCGAGACAGUGCGAGGCCGUCUGCGCUCGGACCCCCGUGAAGAACACUGCAGUCAGAGGCAGCAAUCGCGGGUGGGAGCCGUGGAGCUGCGACCCCGGACAUUCGAGGAUCUGAGCCCCGCUUCCACCUUCCGGGUGGGUGUGGGCCUUCCUCUGCUGUCUCUGCCGGAGGCGGGUGGAGAAGUCUGCACGUGAGCUUCAGCAGUUCGCGGAGUCUUGGAGCAGGCUGUUUCCAGCUCAGUGACCGAGAUGGAGUCGGUGUUGCUCAGUGCGCAUCCCCAACUCCUGUCCGGGACAGCAGCCCGCACAGCGCCAUCUUCGAGGAGCGCAACCCAAGGCAGAGGGGGGCCCCUGCCGGGACCUGAACCUCGGGUCAGGACUGGCGGGUUCAGCAAGACUCAGUUUUCCCGGGAGAGGCAGGUUCACGUGUGCUGGCAAUGAGGAGCUCGCUUUUUCUUUCCUGUGUGUUCCCUUCCUGGUGGAACAGCCGCGGGCAGCAGCGAGCGAGGUUUCAGGGCGCUAGGCGGCCCGAAGAGAGCGGCGGUCGGCUGGCUGGUUGGAGUGUGGUGCUCCAACCCGAGGCCCCGGGUUCGGCCCCGUGCCGACCUCUUUGGUUGCAGCCCUGGGCGAUGCCAGGUCCCCCGUGGGCGGCCUGCUGUGCUCCCCUGCGGUCCGGGGUUCGGCCCGGCACUGCGGGGCGCCCUUGCUUUUUUCACUGAACGCGGGGCGGGGCGACGCCAUGGCCCGCAGGGGAAGCCGGGUGCGCCCCUGAGCACGGAGCACCGGAGGUGGCUGGGCUCCUUCCUCGGCCCGGGGCUUCGUGAGGGGGACCCGCAGGGCCGGCGGGCGAGUGGGAGUGGGGGGGGUGUCCCUGGGCCCAGCUCCGCUGGGGCCGUGCAGAGCCUUUCGGGAGCCCGAAUCCACCGGCGCCCGCCGCUCCUCACGGUGCCUGAGGGCGCUCACCGGCUGAGGUAGGAGCCAAACUCUAAGCCAGAGUGGGGAAGAAUUCUGCACCCGCAGAACUCGGCUUUGUGUUUCCACCGACUGCGGACCGUUAUCCCAAUCCUGGCGAUGCCAACCUCUGUGUGGAGCACGGCAGCUUCCCCGAAAAUAGGAAAACCCAGGGGAGCAGGCCCCGCUGGGACUCGAACCCAGGAUCUCCUGUUUACUAGACAGGCGCCUUGACCAGCUAAGCUACAGGGCCCCUCUUGGACUUGUGUCCGGUUACAUCACAUGUAACACUUUUGUAUGAAAUGUGGCAAUUUGCCGGAUGUUUAUUUGAUCUUGUUAUAAAGAAACUACAUCCACGCUUCCAAAUUCGUCCCAAAUCAGAAAUUCCAUCAUUAAACCAAAAACCAAACCAAACCAAAAACCACCUUCAAUACAAGGUUUAAAGUUGACUUCAGAGCCAAACGAAUGCCCCCCUCUAUUGUGCGACGGUCUCCCCCUAGAGGCCGUAUCGGGCAUCGCCACCUGUUUGGAGUUUAUUUCUCCAGUAAUUGGUUUUGUCAUCCCUGUGGUGCUUUUGGGGUUCCUGGGUGCCCGAGGUGGAGCAGCGAACGAGAUGGCGAAGUUUCUACCGAUACAAAGUUUACAUUGGACCGGGAGAAGAAGAGCAGAGGUCGCCCUGCAGGGCCCCGUGUCCGGGCCUGGAGUUCCACACGUGGGGCCUUGGCUUUGUUCCAGCCUUGGUUGGCCGGCCAGUAAACAGACUGAAUUCGCGGGGACCUGGCCUGCAGCCAUGCACGGCGGAGCGCAUCGGCAGGGUCAGCCCAGUGCAGCUCAGAGGGAAUUCGAGGCGAGGAGCCCAGAGCCCUGUGCCGUGGGUAAGGCGCGGAGGGCCUUGAGGGAUGCCUAGUUCUCUGUCCCAGAUCUUGCAAGGCUGGCCUUCCUAGCUCAUACGUGACGUACUUGUCCUCAAAACACUUCAGAUUUGUUCCUGUUCCUCGGCCAUCCUGCUUCUUCCCUAGGCGACCUUUUCUACCUUGUUGUUGUGCAUUAUUGUGAUUAUUUGUAUUUGUGCCAAGUUGGCAUUUCUGUUUUACGCACAUGUAUUUUAAUACACAUUUACAUCGAUGGUGGCACAGUGCGUAUUUUAAAAAGGCUCAGAACCGAGGGCCUUGCCCUGUGCACGCCACCCCUCCUACCGAGGCCGGCCAGCACCCAGAUGGGCCCCGCCCCACCCCCUCCCUGGCCGAGCCCAGCGUGAGUGGCCCCGACCACCUUCUCCGGAACCGAUCGCCUUCGCUGUUGCUUCUCAAGAGGCCCAAGGAGGACAGACCCGGUCCUGCGGCUCUCCCCACCUGGUCAGCUGCGGGCCCGGACGCUCCGCCUGCCACACAGGCCCGUGGCCCCCUCUCGUCGGUGUUCAUGUGCAAAGUGUACGAUGGAGAGCAGUGCUCACCAGCCCCCAUUGCCGUUUGAAUCCAGCCUCCUCGCUCUGUCAGAUGUCACGUUUCUUGGUCGUCGCCGUCGAAUCUGUAGGACCCAAACCCACACGUCCAACCAGCCGUGGAUUACACAGACCGAGAAGAGGAGGAAGCCGUCUCUACCGCACCAGGGCGGGUGGAGUUUUGCUCCUUGGCCACUUGGGGUCGCCUGGGACUUGUCUCAGGGUGGUCGUGAGCCCGCCCCGCCAACCCAGCCCGGCCAGGGCCAGGCCCUGCGUUCCUGCGCGCUCCUGCGGAGGCCUGUAAGUUCAGUCCCGGACAGGCGCGUAUCUGCAAGCAGGAAAAGCCCUGGCCGCUUCGGGGAAGGAAGCUUUCCAAGGUGCGGGCUGACACUGGGCACAAAGGAGGUGCGGAGUGGCUCAGUCCCCACAGACGCUGUGCCGAGGGACACGAACGCUCCGCAGCCCUGCCUGGGGCGCCGUCCGGUUCUGAGGCCCCUGACAGCCGCUGAUCCUUCUGCACUGAGGCCCUCCGGGGGGCUCACAGCCUCUGAAGCGGAGUGAGAGGAGCCCGAGCCGCGGGUGGGAAGUGUCCUGGAGUCCGGCAUCCGAGCUCGGUCCUCCCUCACACACGCUUGAUUUUCUUGUUGCUGUGCUUCAACCCCUGCGGCCACAGAUGGACUUGGCCACGAUCUCGCCCAUCCCCAGCGCCUGACCUCUCUCCAAGGCAGGGCCUCAGUCCCUGGAUUCAGGGUGUCCCGUGCACCCCACCACCCAGAAAGCCAAGAGGAAUGGUGCCGGCCACUCGCAGAUGCCGAGCGCAGGCCUAACGGGCCUCCUUUGAGUGAAAAGGUGAGAGCCCUUGACUUAAUACGCAAAGAAAAAAACGGAUGCUGAGGUCUGCAGUAAGAAUGAAGCUUUUACUCGUGAAAUUGUGAACGAGGAAGUGUUGUGGGAAUUUUAUUGUCACAUGCCAGAGUGUAGAAGUCUGAGUCACAGCGCAGGAAAGUGCUUGGUUAGGACGGCAAAGGCGCUGACUUCGUUCGGGGCUACAGCAGUUUCAGGGGUCCCCAGGUCUUGGAAAGUGCGGAUGAGGUAGGGCACUGCAUCUUCACACCAGAGUCAACCCGGAGCCCAGAACCCGAGCCGGGGCCAUGCCGGGCUUGGAUGGCGCAGGGCCGCUCAGGAACGGGGGUCCCACCCGGGAGGCGCUACUGGAAAGCUGAGGCAGUGACAGGAAUUACUCAGGGAGAGGCCGCCUUCGUAUCCGCUCAGGGCCUAGGAAACAGCAAAUGCGAAGUCUCAGGAGCGCGGGUUCCAAUCCGGCAGGCCAACCUGGGAACACCCGUCCUAGUUCUAGUCUGAUGAAGUUAUGAAUUCAAAAACUUUUUGGGCAAAGCAUAAAAUGCAGAUUUCAAAAAUGUAGUUUAACAAUUUUGUUGUGUAAUAAGGUCAGCUAUGAUAUCAGAAACCUACGUGUAAAAUUCUUGUAGUAUUUUCCUCUUUAUUAUGCCAAGGGCUCUCUGGUGUCUCAGGUUCAUUUACCAAUGGCCGUUUGGGGCCUAGGUAUCAGUGGUCAGCCCUGCAGACAGUCAGAGCUCCUCCUUGGCACUUACACUGGCAGCCUGGGGACCUAGGUCCCUCCCACGAGGACAGGUCAGCAGUCAGCCUGGUAUUUGGGGUCUCAUCCUUCACACGUUAGAUUUGACUUUGUGAUUGUUUCCCACAGCCAAUGCAUGCCAACGACUCCAUCUAGUAACAAGGUCUGAAGACGUGCAGCUGAAAUGUGGACCCUAGGAAAAGUACAUAUGCUUAUAUUUAAAAAUUGUACGAGUCAUAAAGUGUAUUCUUAAAAAGUAUGUAUCUUAAGUGUGAGGCCCAUUUUCAGGAAUCUUUGGUUAUUUAUUUUAUAUGGUUGUACACACUACUUGAAUAAAGUCUAGUUUUAUUCUGUCAGUGGUAUUUGUUAAUGCAGAUAUAACUAUGGGGUUCUCUGCCUAAUUCCCCAGCAUCUGUCCCCAGCCUUCACACCCAAGUUUCUACACAAUGUUAGAUAGACACAGUGUGUGGAGCCACAGUUAAGAGAAAGCAGCUGUGUGUAGCUUCUCUACUGAUGGAGAUGCCCUAAUGUUUAUUUGUUUUCUUUGCCAUAAGUGAGAAUCUGAUCGGGUAAGUAACACCAUACUUUCUUUUCUAAAUUGGAGUUGGAAUAAUACUCACCUCAGAGAUCGUGAGUUUAAUGAGCACAUUCGUGUUACCUAUGUUGCUCAUAAAUGGCUGGCAUUGUAUAUGUUUUCUGUGCUUUAAGGGUGCACCCUCUUCUCC
ensembl:lncRNA